CCGCACGACUUUUUCCCUCUACUUACACGAACCAAAUGGAAAAACCUCUAUACUUCUCGGUCCUCGCCUUCAAAGAAGGAGGAGUCUACUAAAUAUUGAAUUCGUCGAUCGAUUGUUAGACCGAUUUCGAUGGCCAGUCAACAGUCAAUGGCGACGCACAUUAGAAGCGAUAACAUAUGCGAAUGGCGUUAUAGAAUUGCACAACAGCGAAGCCACGUUGGUAAGCGUCUUGGAAAAUAUAGUUAUAGGCGAUGGCUAUGCACAAAUGGGUUGAGUUCCUACGAGAUUUCCGUUCCAAACCUCAUGCUAACAGAUUACUUUUCUAGAGAGAAUAAGGUUAAACCCCAGUUGGUGGUUGUGAUUGUAUUUUGUCACAGCUGUGUACUGGAAAACAGUACCAUACAUUUUGUGAAAAUUGGAAGGACAUUCAAUUUUAUCAUUAAGGAGAUAUAGGCUGAUGCCUAGGUUGGCACAAUUGUUAGUCUGUGGUUGUAGUUUGUUGUAUUACUUGGCAUUACUGAAGCUGGUUAUUAGUAAAUAUAUUUAAGUUUUCAUGUAGCUUAAGUAGAACUUUGCUCUAUUGUAACAAAUUAGACAAAUCUUGGUAAACAAACAACUAGAAUGGUUUGUACAAAUCCACUGGCAAGGAUGGUUAUGACAAUGAGUCAUCAGGUGAGAAUACUUCCUGUAAAAGAAUUAUGGAAGUAAUCUGUAGCAUUACAAUUGUUACAAUCAAAUACAAUUGGGAAUGGAAUCUCAACAUCAAAUGGUUAUCAUGACAACAUAGAUAUCUGAGAAAAAUUACUGAAACAUUUAUAGCUCGUUCUACCAGAAGAGUUAAAUAGGGAUGUGUGUUUACUUGAACAAGUAAUGGGAUUGGAUGCAAAACAGGUGAAAGAGGUAGCAUUAACCUGUUAACAUAAAAAAUUUGGCCACAAAUUUGUAAAAAUAAAAAUGAAAUGUGAAAAGGCUCUUAAGAAACCAUUGUGUUGAAUACCACUGUGUUCUACACCAUAUUGCUUGCAGUUGGAAUAUUUUGGAAUAAAUUGCAUUUGUAUCUACCAAAUACUACACCAAAAAGCGCCUGAAUGCAACACCUGUACCGCUCCCAGCUACUACGCUAAAGCUUCAGAAUACUAAUUGGCUACAAACCCCUAUAGGGAAGCGCAGGUCCCAACUAAGUUAACGCAGCGGAUCCUCCAGUAUACGACCCUGCAACCUUUACUUGAGGUCUUCCAUUGGAUUAGAAUUUCUAUGGGAUUUGGGUUUUUAUAAGAAGCUAGACCAGAUCCCAAUCGUCUUGAUCCUUCUUCACUUUGAUCGCGAUUCAAGUCAACGCAUUCCAUCAUGCUAGCGAUCGUUUGUUUGACAAUUCUUUUCACAGAAUUUGAUGACUGGACUUCCUGCAAUUCCUUAAACCCAUUUGUCCCAAGAGACAAGGUGAUUGAAGCCGUCUUAACUGUUCCAAGAAUUCCCAUGGCCUGACGGCGAAACCACCCGCGACAACGUAGUGGGAAUGAUUAGAUUUACGAACGUUGUUAAGGCAAAUGAUUUCCGCACUCUUCUAGAACACGGAUACAGAGUUGUAUCAUUGACCAGAUUUAGAUGGGAAAUAUUAUGAAUAGUAAAACUACCGUUUUUCGCCCAAUUGUUAAUAUAAUUCUUUUGGGAACGUUUGGAUGUCGCCCAAAAACAAGCGGAAGACCAUUCGAGGCGUUAUGCCAUUUCUUGAAAUUGAACAUUCAGAAAAUGUGGUAUAUGUUCACAAAUUGUUAAGAUCUAUUCAGAAUGGUACCGUUAAGUAUGACUGUAGGAAAGGGUACGUAGGAUUCUAAAAGUGAAGAACAGCUCUGACGUCUUUGGUAAGCGGAAAAGGUACUACAAAGAGAAGCGUUACAUGGCGGUUUUAAGAAUGGACUCUUUCGUUUGCUUUGCCCAAUGAAUCUGUGCUAUGAACAAGCAGUGGCACUCAAUCUUUGUUCUUAAAACCCCGAGGUGAUCUUCACUUUUCAUGGGGAUUUAUUGAUUAUACUUGUUAAUUAACCAUGAAGAAUACCAAAAGAUGGAUCAGUGGAUGGUUAUAAAAGUAUAAAAUUGUAAUCCCUCGUGGCAUUUUCAUCCACGCAUGCGUGACAAUUCGUGAGCAGACGAACCAUAUUGAUCGUGAGCAACCAUACGCAGUCUGGCUGCAUCCAGCUAGAUACUACUAGAACCCGAAACAUUGUUUUGACAAGUGCUCUAUAUUUCGGUUGCAGGUUUUCACUAAAUAAGAAGACAGGCUUUCCUACAAGCUACGACAGUUUUACCUACAAAUGUUUCGUGCUGCAACUAGUAGCUGAUUUCCUAGGAUCCUAUGCCUAAAAUUGGAGUUCAGUUAUCAGAGAUUAGCAAAAUUCAAGCACUUAAAAGCAAGUGUAAACUCUAGAUGGCGUUGAAGUGCGUCUAAAAUGAAGAUUGCGAGUGAUAUGUAAUAGGUGUUUGUUACGUUACCUGUUUAGUUUUUCAAAGGAUAUUUCGUCAAAAAAUUUACGGUAUGCCAGCAGCCUGCAUUCCUGCUAUCAAUGUAAAACAAGGAAUCCUGACACUUUAAGAAGGCCAGUAUUCCUUACAGGAAGAUCACCAUCCAGUUCAACCAACAGCCCUCUGCAUCCCAGAUAUCUAGAUUUCCAAGCUUCGCUGAUUAGCCAACCAUCAUCCAUACACUUCAGCUCUUCAUUGUGGUUUCUCUUCCUCUCUUCUUAAUCUGCCGAAAGCCAACAUGAAAUAAGGUUCAUCUUCAUUGGAUUACCAUGAAACUUGUCAUUGUUAAUCCUGCUGUUCUUCUCACCGUUACUUAGCCAGCUAACAUGGAUAGGCGUUAACACCAUCUCCAUUUUUUGAACUGCAAAUAUUCAUCUUCCUUUGGUACAACACUGCUGUUACGACAAUUUCGCUAGUUUCGCCCCCCAGUGGACCACACGCAACUACAUUUUUUUCGUCUUCCUGUCGUGGUUGUCUACGCCUUCACCUCAUCGCUGUCUUCGUUGACGGGUUCGCCUUCAUCUCCGUCUCGUCGUCGUCUUGGCCGUCUUUUUCUACGCCAUCACCUCGUUGCCGGCUUCGCCUUCGCUUUUCACGUAGAGUUCACCGUGGAUCGUCGCCCUGGUAUUGUUUUAUUUUGCAUUUUAAUGUUUAAGUUAACCCGUUGGCUGCCACCCCGUUUGCGUCCCAUUUUUUUUUUAGCUUGUAGGGACCGGCCGCAAUGGCCUUCGCCGCAAGGCGCCUUAGG
rnacentral:lncRNA from 1 species